AUACACACACUGCGCAUGCGCAACACUCCUGAUGAGCAGUCAUAGAUAUGUACACUAGAUGUCGCCAUGGCUACGGCAGUAACAUUGGAACGAAUGCGUCAAUAGAGCCGCCAUCUUGGUACAGGGGACCCACACUCCUCUUAAUGCAUCAGCGUCAAUGUAGGCAAAGGGAAAUAAAAUCACCAUAACGAUUUAUGGUGAUAUUAUUUACACUGAUGAAACAGGACCAAACUCGGGUCCAGUGAGAGCAGCACGGGAUCCACAUCGGGAUCGGUGUGUUUUGAAUAAUAAAGGAAGAAGAAAAGAAAAGAAGAAAGAAAGAAAGAAUAAAAAACAUGUUUCUUAAUGUUUCAUUCUGAUGAUUGAUGUGAACAUGACCUGAGUAUACAGUCAGUAGCAGCUAUUGCUGUGCAGCGGCAGAGUUAAGACGGGAUCUGAUGACUUGUUUCUAGACUUUCUGAAAUGGUUGAGAUGUCUCUGUACACUGUACUCUCUCAAGACUCCAGCUUUGGACCACACACUUGUUUUUGAGUCACAGAUCCUCACCAGCCCAUACGGGACGUCCAACUGAACUCAACUUCAAUGGAUUUACAUGAAGGCCACAUUCUUACUGGCAGAAGAGUAAGAAAGUCCCAUGCUUUAGAGGUACAUCAACCCUGCAUACAGUGGAGGGACAAAUCCAGACUUCCUGCCUACAUCCAGAUCACCUGCUCUGGUCAAUGGGUUGAUCUCAGAGUCUUUCUAUACCCAGUGUGCACUUAGCAAUAGUGUGACAAGCGGAUGGCACUUGACCUCGGUUUCAUUAAGGACAUGGUCGAGGUUCCGUCAAAACUAGGACAUAUUGUAAAUCUACUAAAUAAAGUAAUAAAGAAGAAGACAGAAGCUUAGACUUUAAUCACAAACAUGGCACGUUUAUUAUAAAUUGAGAGACAUUACUAACAUGCAGAGUAUAAACAGAGCAUUGAUUCAUAACACUAUGAAUGACUUCAUGAUGCUCUAAUGGAACACAAAAAAACAUCUUUUGAAAGCUUGUAGAAUGUUUUAUUUAUUAACA